CAGUAGCCGCGGUAAUACGUAGGGUGCAAGCGUUAAUCGGAAUUACUGGGCGUAAAGCGUGCGCAGGCGGUUAUAUAAGACAGAUGUGAAAUCCCCGGGCUCAACCUGGGAACUGCAUUUGUGACUGUAUAGCUAGAGUACGGCAGAGGGGGAUGGAAUUCCGCGUGUAGCAGUGAAAUGCGUAGAUAUGCGGAGGAACACCGAUGGCGAAGGCAAUCCCCUGGGCCUGUACUGACGCUCAUGCACGAAAGCGUGGGGAGCAAACAGGAUUAGAGACCCCAGUAGUCCCUGUCUCUUAUAA
rnacentral:rRNA from 1 species